UUGUCGCGGGUUGAAAUUUUGCAGGGUUGUUGAAAUCAAAUUUAGGGACUUUACUGACGGGACUCUGGGCUGGCUGCUCUGUUCACUCGUCAGCGCAAGUGGCGUGACCAUGUAAUUGGGGCACGGGGCCGGCGCGGCGCGCUGCGGGCUUGCAGAAUUUUGUUUGUUUGUUUGGCCGCGCGCUGGCGCAGCCACGGGCCGCAGUUACUGGGGCGCGCUGUCGUAACAAGCCGCGCGGUGUGGCCUGCACAUUGGGGUAGAGGGGGGGUAGUCUUCCCAGAUGUUCUAGUUAGUUGUUUAGUAAAUUUGACUUCAAUAACGAGCUUUUGUUAUGGUAGGCGCGGCAGGGCGCGCGAAUUUAAGCGCAAGUGAUUGGUGACUCGGGGCUCACUCAGGCGGAGGCUAUGCGUCUCACCUGUGGUCACGAGUUGUUAGUUCGUUCGUGAUAUAGGAAUUCAAGCUUUCGGGCGGAAGCUAUGGUCGACGCCAGAGGCCACGAGUCGUUUAAUUUAAGUUAGGUCAUAAUGUAGUCGUCAAGCUUUCGGGCGGAGGCUAUGGCCCUCGUCAGGGGUCACGCGUCAUAGUUUUUAAAAUGUAAUGUUCGUUCGGGAUUUCAAGGGCAGGAGAGGCCCCUACGUUAUUUUUUUAAAGUAAUCGAUCAAGAAAGGCUUUUCGGAAAAUGUGAGUAUGGACUUAUCUUUGUUUUAAUUUUAAGUAUUAAUUAUGAUUUGAGGUAUUCGGAAGGACUAGGGAAGUGUUUAGUGAAGUUCUCUCAUUCUCUCUCUUGUAAGGUCGUUCGUUCAAUCGUUAAGGAAGUAAAGAGAUUAUUGUUUUAAAUUGUAAUCCCGCUAUUUAAAUGUUCUUUAAAAUGAUGUUGAGUAUUUGACUUUAAGAAUAAAAUAAUUUUAAUUAAGUAUUAUGUUAUUUUGCAAAAUCUCCUUAGUUCAGCUCUCACCAGACAUCCUGUACGGGAUGACGAACCUAUGAUCCUAGGUACAGUAAAGUAUUUUAUGAAGUUAAGACUAGUUGAUGCCAAGCGAGUUGUUUCUAUGUAAAGAGCUACGAUUCUCUCCCCCCUCUGAAAGUGGAUCGUGACAGAAAUGGCGGUGGCACCGGCUAGGUGCACGUGACAGAAAUGGUGGAGGCGCCGGGUAGGUUCUAUUUCUGGAGAGAGAGAGAGGUAGAUUUUUAUGUUUAUUAUUAAGUUAGUUUCAGCUUCUGAUAGCAGGUUAUUAAGAGUUUACUUGAGGAGAGGAUUACGGAAUUUUAGUCUAUAGUGGAGGAAGUCUUUGAGAUUUUUUUUUUUGACGUAACAGAUGUUUAUUUGAGGAUACUUGUAAGGAUAAAGUUUAUAGUGAUAAGUUGUUUUAAGUCGUUGAAUUUAUUGUAGAUUUAUAUCGGGGAUUAUUACGUGAGGAGAAUACGUUAUAAGUUAAAUGCUUAUUAGAGAUAAUGCAAGUGGUUUAAUUUAAUUGAAGUUCAUUUUAAGAUUGUAGGUUAAGAGAAUUAUAAUUUAAAAUAAAGUUUUUUGUCGUAAAUAGGAAUUAUUUUCAAGAGAAGUUUGUUUUGUUUUCGUGCGCGUAGGAGACGAGACGUACGAAUUAAAUCAGUCGAGGGAAGGAUAAACGUUAGAAAGGAAUUAAAGAGAAAACGAGAGUUUAUGUAAAAGAGAGUUAUAGAAUUUAUAGUGAUGUUUUGUUUUAAUUAGAAAAAUGUUGAGAGUUGUUUCAGAACGACACGUCAGUGGACGUGGCAGAGUGAACACGUGACGGGGAGGUGCUGAGACCUAGCGGAGAACGGAGGAACCGCAAGCGAGGGUUGGCGCACCUGAUGGAAUUCGGUGACGUCACGGGCUCAUACGGAGACGUGGACAGGCCGUGACCUUGUUUUGAUCAGCUGUACGGUAACUUAGCGAUAAGAAAAUAGACUAUUGGUUAAAUAAAUUUAAAUUUAAGUGUGUUUUAGGAGAAGAGGAACUUUCAGUAUAUUCCUUAAGAUGAGCUGAGCAGCAGUCCAGUUUACAAGAUGACAAGAGUUCGAGAGACAAGAUACAAGAUCACUGAAACAAGAGCCAAGACUGAAGAUUCAAGAGAAGAGAAAGCUGGCAGCCAUGGACUUACAAGUGGAGAUUAAUAAGGUCAUGUAAAGUUUUAUUUUUUUUUAUGGAAGACAGUAACUGGAGUUUUUUUUUGUUAUAAACAUUAUUUACAGAACUUUUUAGGUUAUAGUAAUGUAAUGGAACUAGUGAGUUGUGGUAGCUGUCAAAAAGAACUAAUACCUUAAGUUUAAUUUUUAAAGUUAAUUUUCUUAAUUUACAGAGGGAUUAGUAGUUUUUUUUAAACCUUAUUUAGGUUGGAAUUUAAAUACAAUAGCUUAUUAUAAAUGUGUACGAACAGUUCAAGUUCACAGUACUGAUAGGUAGGUCAGAUGAUCUUAUUGAUUUUGAUGAUUUGUUGUUUUGAGUUGAUUUUUAAGUGUUGUGAAUUAGACAAUGAAAUAGUUCUGAAAACUUAAAUUAUUUCAAGCUAAGAAAUAGUAAAGUUAAUUGUAACUCAAAGGACACCAGAAUUUAAUUUUUUUUUGAAUUAGUAAUGUUUGAAAAUUUUAUACUUUACAAGAAAGGUUAUAAACAAACAGAUCGGAUGGAACAAGGAUGCAGUAAAUCACAAUUUCAUUUAGAAUUAUUGAUUAGCUUUUGAGGUUAUGAAGUAAAAGUAAUUAUAGUUUAAAAGUUUGAAUAAAAAAAAAAAUGUUUUUUUUUAUUUGUUUGAAAUAGAAAGUUUAAAAGUUAAUUAGUCAUGAUCUAGGUGGGUGAUGGGGUGGGAAUUGGCCACUCUUUUUCCCUAUAACCUCCCUAACAUGGCCUUCUAUUACAACUAACAGAAAUAAAGAAGAAGAAAAAUGAAGAAUUAUUAGUUAGAAUGUUUCUUUCAUGAAGAUACCUGAUGAACUUUUACUGUUUGGAAGAAUAGAAGCAAGGUUAGUCAGAUAUUUUUACUCAGAAGAAGAAGAAGAUAAAGCAGUUUUAUGACUCGACAAGCCAGAGAUUGGUGUUUCCCCUCUGCGCUUCUAUUGACUACGUUGUUUACUCUCAUGGGAUAGCUGGUUCGGCACCAUGGAGAGAGAUUGGUGGGCAUUGUGGUUGCCCCCAGAAGAAAAGAAGAGUAGAAGAGGUUAUGGGUGGGUCAUGUGAACUGACCUUCAACCCAGUUACUUCGUGGGGACUAUUUGCUGUAUAGAGAAGAUCAAGACUCAAGAGUUAGGGAAAAUCAUUGGAGGUCAUGUUUCCCUUCCUUAAGUUUUUCCUAUCAAAUUAUUUGCCUGAUUAGAUUAUGCUAAGGGUGGGAUACUUUAUGUUAGCAGUUGUAUUAAUUAAUUUUAUUUUUUUGUGUGUUUGCAUCCUUGCCCAUCGAUUGCAGUUUAGUAGUUAGUUUUGUAUUUGUCAGGCGUGAUGGUAAUGCCUGUUGAUGAUGUUUCAGAAUUGUAAUCUGUUCGUGAUGAGGAUGGCACAACUCCGAAGCAGAUGUGGGGAGAAGUUGUGAGCUGCCCUGGAAGCCAGUCCAGUAGCUGUUGGAGUUGAGUGGUGUUUGCUGAUGGCCAGCCCAGGGAGCUACUCUUCUCGACAACACUGACUUCGAGGAGUUGCACCAACCUUCACGAGAUAAGAGUUUAAUUAAUUGAAACACUGUAAGGACACUUAAUUUUUUUUGAAGAACGAAAGAAGUAUGGUAAUAAACGGAAACCGAAAAAAAAAUAAUAAUAAUAAUUAUCAAGAAUUUGCACAUUGUUUAACGAAUACUGAGAAACUAAGAACAGUAAUUUAAUUUGUAAAGAGAGCUUCACUAACAGAACAAUUUUUUUAGAAUUGAGAACUCGAGCCUCUGAAGGUUCCUGUGAGAACAAACCAGAUAAAAGUUUUACAUUUAAUUUUAUGAAUACUUGUUGUUUUAAAAUAAAUCUUAUGCAGAAUCUAGAUGUAUGUUCAGACAGCAAGGAACUAAGAAAAUUAUUAUUUUUGUGAAAUGAGGAAUUUAUAGUUAUGGUUUAAUGGAAAAAGACAAUUUGUAAUUUUGAGGUAGCUCGAUGGGGCUCGAGCUCUGUGAGGGGAGGGUUAUGUCGCGGGUUGAAAUUUUGCAGGGUUGUUGAAAUCAAAUUUAGGGACUUUACUGACGGGACUCUGGGCUGGCUGCUCUGUUCACUCGUCAGCGCAAGUGGCGUGACCAUGUAAUUGGGGCACGGGGCCGGCGCGGCGCGCUGCGGGCUUGCAGAAUUUUGUUUGUUUGUUUGGCCGCGCGCUGGCGCAGCCACGGGCCGCAGUUACUGGGGCGCGCUGUCGUAACAAGCCGCGCGGUGUGGCCUGCACAUUGGGGUAGAGGGGGGGUAGUCUUCCCAGAUGUUCUAGUUAGUUGUUUAGUAAAUUUGACUUCAAUAACGAGCUUUUGUUAUGGUAGGCGCGGCAGGGCGCGCGAAUUUAAGCGCAAGUGAGUGGUGACUCGGGGCUCACUCAGGCGGAGGCUAUGCGUCUCACCUGUGGUCACGAGUUGUUAGUUCGUUCGUGAUAUAGGAAUUCAAGCUUUCGGGCGGAAGCUAUGGUCGACGCCAGAGGCCACGAGUCGUUUAAUUUAAGUUAGGUCAUAAUGUAGUCGUCAAGCUUUCGGGCGGAGGCUAUGGCCCUCGUCAGGGGUCACGCGUCAUAGUUUUUAAAAUGUAAUGUUCGUUCGGGAUUUCAAGGGCAGGAGAGGCCCCUACGUUAUUUUUUUAAAGUAAUCGAUCAAGAAAGGCUUUUCGGAAAAUGUGAGUAUGGACUUAUCUUUGUUUUAAUUUUAAGUAUUAAUUAUGAUUUGAGGUAUUCGGAAGGACUAGGGAAGUGUUUAGUGAAGUUCUCUCAUUCUCUCUCUUGUAAGGUCGUUCGUUCAAUCGUUAAGGAAGUAAAGAGAUUAUUGUUUUAAAUUGUAAUCCCGCUAUUUAAAUGUUCUUUAAAAUGAUGUUGAGUAUUUGACUUUAAGAAUAAAAUAAUUUUAAUUAA